GCGCGCGCCUGUAGUCCCAGCUACUCGGGAGGCUGAGGCAGGAGGAUCGCUUGAGCCCAGGAGUUCUGGGCUGUAGUGUGCUAUGCCGAUCGGGUGUCCGCACUAAGUUCGGCAUCAAUAUGGUGACCUCCCGGGAGCGGGGGGCCACCAGGUUGCCUAAGGAGGGGUGAACCGGCCCAGGUCGGAAACGGAGCAGGUCAAAACUCCCGUGCUGAUCAGUAGUGGGAUCGCGCCUGUGAAUAGCUACUGCGCUCCAGCCUGGGCAACAUAGCGAGA
rnacentral:SRP_RNA from 1 species